ACUCCGCACGGGUACCGAGAACUUUCCGGGGUGAGUUUUAGAAUUUGCUCCUAGGCAUUCUUUUUCUGCGUUUGGAUUUUAUCCCUUGAUUCUUUGGGUUGGUAAACUUUAUGAAAUGGUAACUUGACUGAAGCUCAUUUGGAGAGAAGAGGGGAGUGAGGCGGUGUGUGCUUGGGGCUGGUGUUUGUCAGUGUGAGCGUGUAAGAGCACACCUGCAUUCAAGGGGGUUUGUAGUGUCCGUGCGACAUCUGAGGGAGAAUCGACGGGAUUUCUCUGGCUGUCGUUUGCGCUGCAUUUAUCCGAAUACAUCCAGCUCGCAGGCAUCCUGCAAGAAACGGCUCCCGGCUCGCGUGUACGCCGACACCUCGGCCCAACGCAGGACUCGAGGUGGUUUCUAGUGCCCGGGUGGCUGCAAGUCUGCCCUCCGAGGGAGGCUGGACAAGCGGCGCCCCCAGGUCGAGCGGCCUCUCGCUGCCUGGCAGUGCCUGGCAGCCCCCACCUCUGCCAGUGCUUCGGAAACCCGCCUGGCCAGGUUCGCCCGCGGUGAAAAAUGAAAGCAAAUUCCCCAACAGAGGUAGCCGGAACUUUCCUCGACGAAGGCUCCCUCCUGCGCCUGUGUCUGGAGAACCCCCAGAGCGCUGCAAGUUAGCAAGAGAGAUUCGAUGGCGGCUCUGGAAGGCGCACGAAGGGUGGGGCG
rnacentral:lncRNA from 1 species